CAACAGUCUGCUGGCCCAUCCUUCAACAGUCUGCCAGCAGAAAGUUAGAUGCUGCCUUCUUACCUCCUCGGUGCAGAGUCUCCCCUUCAGUUUGACUUGGGAAUUUUCCACAUCAGCAAGUAGGAAGUGGCUGCUGUCAUGCCAGAUGGGCUUCUGUCGUGAGUGUCUAGGGCACUCUGAACUCCGGGCAAGUUCUUUGAGACACCAAGAACAGAGAAGGAAGCCCCAUCAGACUCCAAGCGGUACCACACCUGUACAGGUCUGAAGCCUGCUGGGCUAAAGUGUUCAGGGCUGUGCAUGGCCUUUGGGACCUGACCUGAUUUAACCCAGGCAACAUUUGACUCUGGGACAGUUGUUACUCUGCUGGGUCAAAGGAACAGAGCCCCAUGCAGGAAUAUCCAGCUCCACAAAACAGCUGGUGCCCACCAACCAAACCAAGCUACAAUCAACCCAUCUGAACCCAGGAGCCCACGGAUCUGCAGACAGGUUGGAACCUUAGACUAUGGACUGAAACCACUGCAGACUGCAAGGAAUCCAGCCCAGCUGGUAUAACAAGAAUGGGCACUGCUUGUCAUAGGAUUGACUCUAAACUGCAUAAUUUACGUCUGCUUUGAGAGGUCUAAAAGGGAACAGGGUGCUAUGAGAUGUUCCCUUCUGCAUCGACGAUCCGGACAGAGCAAAGAAUUGGAGAAGUGCUUUGGAAGACACAGAUUCAUAGAUCUCCAGCAACAGGACCAAAAUGGUAUCAACUUCCAGGGCCCAGGGAAACAACUGCAGGUACAAUUAAUUGCUGGACUGUUAGCUAAGGAAUGAGCCCUGCCUGCUCAGAGAAACCUGAAGACUCCAGAUGCAGAGGAAGAGACUAUGAAGCCAGACAGUUGUCAGUGCUGUGGAGAACCUGGACAUUGGUGUAAGGUGGUGGGCAAUGCCCUGUCUCUCGUAGGUGCCACCUCCACGGGGAGGAAAGCACUGGUAAGGAGACUGCCUCGCCUCGAAAGGGAUGGCAACCACUGGCUUCCAUCUUGUCUGCCCUGAAGAUUAAAGAUGCCCAAGCUUUCUGAAAGCCCUGCAGGACAGAGUGGGUAUCCCUUUGGAAGGGCCUCACGUAACUCUUACUGUGGUACCUAAAAAUUAAUUUUCUUUUAGACAAUAAAGCUUCAUUUUCUGCAUUACUCAAA